rnacentral:lncRNA from 1 species
UUCUUCUUCUCCCAUAGGUUGGGCCCUAUCACUUCUUCUUAGGCCCAGCAAUUCUUAGUCCAUCAUUUUAUGUCCACUGCUUUUGCCACCUGCGGGAAAGAACACUGGUUUUCCAAGCCUCCUGCAAUGGCAAUUUCGAUAGCAUGAACACAAUGACUUCAUCCGGCGCAGUCGACUGAAAUAAUCUUCCUUUCAUCUCUGACCACGCUAAAGAAGAAACAAGAACAUCAAACUUUUGAGAUUGUUAUACGUACAAAAACAAUAGCACAGUGCAAUGCAUGGAAGCUCUUUAUUUAAGCAUAGCAGAAUGAUUCAGAAUAAAAAACAUGGAUGAAAUGACCUUUCGCGACCUCAAUGUUCUUCCCAUAUCUUUACAGUAUUUUAAACAAAUAAAGACAGCAACACCAAACGAUCAAACUUUGUUAGUACAUCAUCAAAGCCAACUAAAUAGCAAAAAUGGAAGCAGUGCAGUGUCUGAUACAUCAUCAUCAACAACAACAAUAAAGCAAUAAUCUCAAUCUAGUUUAUACCAAAUCCGGCUGUUUUUUGAAUCCUGUUUUCAAAACAGAGAGAAAUCACGCCUUUUCUUUUCAAUGACAAGGCUGCAUGCAUUCUGCGAGUAAAAAGCUAAUUAAAAGAUAGUUACCUGUUCUAAGGUGCUUGCUUCAGACAUUAAACAAUUUUAGCGAACUAGCAAAUGUAAAGCUGGUCAGUGUUUGAGAAAAGCAAAUAAUUUGCAAGUAAUUAGCAGGAGUUGGGAUUUGAUUACCUUCUCCGACAAGAUUGGAUAAAUGGAGCUGUCUAUUGAAUUUCUCAAAUUUUCAUUCAUUUAUUAGGGACGAGGAUGUUGAAUAGUUUAAGGCUUAAAUGAGCCCUCUGAACAGGGGAUUACACCUGUCUUUUAAAGUCAUAAACACAUG